rnacentral:lncRNA from 1 species
AAGCACCAAAAAGAGCUACACAAGGUAAUUGCGGGACCACAGAUUUUCAUAAAGAAACCAUCAAAACAAAACAGCCCGCAUUGAUCCCCGAAAUGCCCUCGUGGGAGCAAAAUACUUGUGUGAAAAAAAAAAGGAAAAAGAAAAGCGCCGCAUGCGCGCUUGGUGCUGCGCUUCGCACAUGCGCGCUUGGUGACGUGCUUCGUCUGUGUCGUCUUUGUCUGCCGUCUUUGUGAACUUUGCAGCGCUGGCUUCAUGAUCCGUUGUGCAGCCGCGGUUUUUCGUUGGGUGUGUGUGCUCUGUGGAUUCGGGCGGCAGUGAGGAAGUCAUCGUCAAGAUUGCAGGAUUUUUGUGGGUUUUCAUCGCUACAAAAGAUAUUCAAAAACAGAGCAAGAAGAGAAGCCCAGCAACCAAGGUUCUUCUACUUGGGCUAGACUGCAGAAGAUGAGCUGAAAAUUAAUCGUUUCUGUAUUUACAUAGUUAUUUCAUUAAAAUAUAUUUCGCAAUGAGUGUA